AGUUGAUGAACUACGACGAAAGAUGGUACAAAAGAUUUCCGAGUACGAAGAGCAAUUGGAAUCACUUCUUAACAAAUGCAGUUCUCUUGAGAAGCAAAAAUCUCGACUCCAAAGUUCUCAUCAUGGACCUCGAGAAGGCCACAACCCAUGCUCAAAACUUGGAAAAUAGAUGUGCUGCUCUUGAGCGAUCUAAUCUUGAUCUUAAGACCAAGGUUGAUGAGCUCAAUGGUAUGUUAGAAAAUGCUCAACGAGACUUGAGAAACAAGAUGGCUGAAUUACAGCCAUUGACACACGAAUACGAGAAAUUGAAGGAUCAAAAGGAAGCCUUGGCACGAGAAAACAAGAAAUUGCAAAGUGACAUGUUAGCAUCAUAUUCAUACCUGAACACUAAUUGAGAUGAAUUUUUAGUCUAAUCAAUCCAAAACGUACCGAUUUCAUAUUAUACAAAUCACUGAAAACUUUAAUUUUACUAGUCAAAAUUUCAAUUCUCAACUUCAUCUUUGGGAGCUUGGAGCUCAGCUUUGUAUUUAGAUUUACAUGAAGCACAAUCUCCAUUGGCUUUAGCUAAUUGUCUCUCAAUGUCAAGACGUGCUUCCGAUUCCUCCUCAAGUUGAACUUUAAGAGAUUUCAAUUCAAUUACAAUGGCAAUGGUUUCAAGUGGAGAUCGUUUAUAAAUUGAAAAGAAUAAUUUUAGCCUGAGUUUAUGGUUUUGUUUAAUCCACUCAAUGACCAUCGAUCAAUUAUCCUCUUUUUAUCUUCUAAUCUUUACUUGUUAUCUCCCAAUUGAAUAGACAUUUGACUCUUAAUAUGAUUGGAAUUCUCCAAAUCUCUUUUUUAGCAAUUUCAAUUUGGCUAAUUAGAACGGAUUGUCGUUUGACUGUUUGUUUGAAUUUGAAGUUUUGUUUGUUGGCCACAUGCAAGGAUAUUUUGAGCUUGCAUCUUCUUCUUGAUUCGAGCAACUUCAGUCUCGAGUUUAGCCUCAGCUAAUCGCAUAUUCAACCAUCUUUUAACUUGUAAUUGUGACGAGUGAAUAGCAAAAUUAGAACAUCGAAACGUAUUUACAAGGAGCGAGCUAGUAUUCUUAUAAUAAUCGAACUUGGGCAAAUCAACAGCCAAACGUUGAGCUUGCACCUCUUCUUGUUUCCCCAUAGCUUCAGAUUCCUUAUAAGCAGCGAUUAUCUCUUCGCGCUUAUUUUUGUUUGAGCUUUUACGCUAAACGGUAAAAUUUAAUAACAAUUCCGUGGAUUCGUUGACGAGCUUCAUCAAGAGCAGCUUUAGCAUCGGAAAGGUCAUUUAAAUUUUCAGCAAACAAGUUAAUCAUAUGAAUUUUAUCACAAUCAAAAUGAAAGUUAUUACUCUUACUAUCUACUGUCAAUACAACUAAGGAAACUAGUUCUGUGAUGAUUAUGAAGGAUUAAAACAUACAUACUAUGCUGUGCUCUAUCACUGUGACUGUUCAUUUUGAUACGAUCAAAUUCAAAACUUUAGGUAAUAAAAUAUUCAGUAUAAGCCUUCAAAAUAACUUUAUAAGCAUUAGACAAAAUAUCUCUUAUAUUAAAAAUUAGACGAAAUAUAAUAAUAUUUAUAACAGUUAUUCAACCUUUCCAAAUCAAAGUUCCAUGGGUGAGGCACACUGAUUGUAAAGAUAACAAGACACAAUUAAUUCAUCAGGUGAUUAUAAUGAAACAGGAUUGUUUUUUGUUGCAAACAAUUUAUUGAUUACUUAAUCAUCAACAAUCAGUUGGUUAUUCGUUCUCUUAGCAAUUUUAUUUGGAACUUUGGACUUCAAAUAAUCAGUCGAAUGAUUAAUAAGAAUAAUGAAAAACAACAAUAUCGCUAAACUUUGUCCUUAGAUGAAUUAUCUUUGAUAUAUUUCUUUUAGAUUGAAUUAAUUGUAGUAAUAUCAAAAUAAGAAAUUAUCGCUUUUUAUUUCAAAAAAAUUGGUAAUAAUCAGACCCACAGAUGAGAUUCACCGAGUAUAAAUACCAUUAUAUUUAUGUUUGAAUUCAUUCAUUUUAAACAUCCCAACUUUAAGUGAUCAAUUUAACAACAAUUCAACAAUUAAAGUAAAAAUGAAUUUUACUUACUUCGUUACCUUUUCUCUGCUCAUGGUCUUAAUCGUCAAUAAUGGCCAAUGUGCUUCUAUUUCAGCUGCACAGCUUGUUGACGAUAAAGCCAAUAGUUCAAUCGUGUUAAAUUAUCGAUUUGUUAGUGAUUGGGAAGAUUUCGUUUUACUCAAUGUAAAUGCCACAGAAACUGGACCAAAACAACUAAAAAGCUGUAGUUUGUCAUUACAAAGUCAACACGAUGUCAAGGGCAAAUUAUACUGGAGCUCAGCUUUUGAUUAUGCUGUUAUCCACAGUUCUCGAAUUGAGUCCGAGAACAAGAUCGUUUUUAAUGUCUUGGUCAAGGAUGUAAAACCAUCUCCAAAUUAUCGAAUCACCGCUGUAUGUAAGCAUUCGGAUGGUAUGUUGACUAUGGCAGAUAAUCUCGACUUCAAUAUGGAUUCGAAGGCUCAAUAAUGGACACAUCUACGAUGUACCGGUCUAAUAUGAAAACAUAAAGACCACAGAAUAAAAAGUCUCUUUUUUAAUUGCAA